GAGGGGCAGCGGGGUUGUAGCAAUACAACUGCCGGCGACCGGCGCACGGGUGAGUAACACGUAUGUAACCUGCCCUCUGCAGGGGGAUAAGCGGAAGAAAUUCCGUCUAAUACCGCAUAAUACAAUUUGGAGACAUCUCCGGGUUGUCAAAGGAGUGAUCCGGCAGAGGAUGGACAUGCGGCGCAUUAGCUAGUCGGCGGGGUAACGGCCCACCGAGGCUACGAUGCGUAGGGGUUCUGAGAGGAAGGUCCCCACACUGGUACUGAGACACGGACCAGACUCCUACGGGAGGCAGCAGUGAGGAAUAUUGGUCAAUGGGCGGAAGCCUGAACCAGCCAAGUCGCGUGAGGGAAGACGGUCCUAUGGAUUGUAAACCUCUUUUGCAGGGGAGCAAGGCGCGGUACGUGUACCGCGAAGGAGAGUACCCUGAGAAAAAGCAUCGGCUAACUCCGUGCCAGCAGCCGCGGUAAUACGGAGGAUGCGAGCGUUAUCCGGAUUUAUUGGGUUUAAAGGGUGCGCAGGCGGACUGUUAAGUCAGCGGUAAAAUGUCGGUGCUCAACACCGGCCGGCCGUUGAAACUGGCAGCCUUGAGUGAG
rnacentral:rRNA from 1 species